AUCUCGGCUCUCGCAUCGAUGAAGAACGUAGCGAAAUGCGAUACUUGGUGUGAAUUGCAGAAUCCCGUGAACCAUCGAGUCUUUGAACGCAAGUUGCGCCCUAAGCCUUCUGGCCGAGGGCACGUCUGCCUGGGUGUCA
rnacentral:rRNA from 1 species